CCUGUAAUUUCAGCACUUUGGGAGGCUGAGGCAGGCAGAUCACCUGAGGUAGGGAGUUUCAGAGCAGCCUAACAUGGAGAUACCCUGUCUACUAAAAUUACAAAAUUAGCCAGGCAUGGUAGCUCAUGCCUGUAAUCCCAACUACUUGGGAGGCUGAGACAGGAGAAUUGCUUGAACCCAGGAGGC